CGCUCACCAUGGCCUGGACCCCUGUGCUCCUCGUGCUCCUCACUCACUGCACAGGGUCCCUCUCCCAGCCGGUGCUGACUCAGCCGCCCUCACUCUCUGCAUCUCCGGGAGCCACAGCCACACUCACCUGCACCCUGAGCAGUGAUGUCAGUGUUGGUGGUAAAACCAUACACUGGUUCCAGCAGAAGCCAGGGAGCCCUCCCCGGUUUCUCCUGUACUACCACACAGAGUCAGAUAAGAACCAGGGCUCCGGGGUGCCCAGCCGCUUCUCUGGAUCCAAAAACGCCUCGGCCAAUGCGGGGCUCCUGACCAUCUCAGGGCUGCAGCCGGAGGACGAGGCCGACUAUUACUGCGCUGUGUGGCAUGAGGACCCCAACACUCACACGGCGCUGCAGAGUCAGAGGAAGUGA